CACAUCAGUUUGAGCUUUGAAGUAACAUCAUUUGACAUCACCACUAUUGCUGACCUCGUUGACGUCUAUGAUGCAAUGAGAGUUUGUGUUCGCGACUGCGCCAAGGCCAGAUGUGCGCGAGUUGAUGCGUUUAGGGCACCCUACUCCAUUUGAGCACGCUCUACAAGAAUGUUACAUCUCCUAAUCCUCACACUUGUGCUCAGUAGAAGUAUGUCAGCUUCUAUAUCGAAAAGAACUGACAUCCAUAUGGAAAAAAUUGAGUUCCAUUACUCCAGCAACCUUCAUCCAUACGUCAGAUACACUGACGAUUACGGCGAGAAGCCUCUGCCUGACUCACAAGAUGUAGAAAAUGCCAAUGACCUCAAUCUGGAGAAUGCAUAUUAUUGAGAGAAACUCAUUAAUGAGUUUUUCCUUGCCUGGUUGGGGGUUUUAGAACAGGGGAUGUCACUGAUCUUUGUCAACCGGGGGCCUGUGAAACCCCUUGAGACUAAGUUUUGGUAAAAGACUGCACAAAUAAACAUGACACGCUCCUUGGAUCGAAA